CCUACGGGGAGCAGCAGUGAGGAAUAUUGGUCAAUGGACGAGAGUCUGAACCAGCCAAGUAGCGUGAAGGAUGACUGCCCUAUGGGUUGUAAACUUCUUUUAUAUGGGAAUAAAACGUUCCACGUGUGGGAUUUUGUAUGUACCAUAUGAAUAAGGAUCGGCUAACUCCGUGCCAGCAGCCGCGGUAAUACGGAGGAUCCGAGCGUUAUCCGGAUUUAUUGGGUUUAAAGGGAGCGUAGGUGGAUUGUUAAGUCGGUUGUGAAAGUUUGCGGCUCAACCGUAAAAUUGCAGUUGAAACUGGCAGUCUUGAGUACAGUAGAGGUGGGCGGAAUUCGUGGUGUAGCGGUGAAAUGCUUAGAUAUCACGAAGAACUCCGAUUGCGAAGGCAGUUCACUGGACUGCAACUGACACUGAGGCUCGAAAGUGUGGGUAUCAAACAGGAUUAGAUACCCUGGUAGUC
rnacentral:rRNA from 1 species